rnacentral:lncRNA from 1 species
AACCCUACCCCAAACUUCCUCUCCUGUCUUCAUGUGGAUGCUAACUUAAAACUCUUAUUUCUGGGUCAGAUAACUCCCUGCUCUCAGCCCUGAUGACUACACCUUUGACACACACUAUAUUGCUCCAUUGUCAGCCACUCUCCCUCCCACUGCCCUGAAGAUGGAAAUGUACCCAACCUUCAAGCCCCUGUCGGUCCAGCUCGCGAAGUUUCCGGCUGAAGAUUCAUUAUCAGAUGGAUGAGAUGUUCAUCUCCACUUACACAGCCUACGGCUUGUGUGUGGAGAAAGAUGUUGAGCCAACAAAAUGAUCUGCAACACAAAAUUCUACUCUCCUCUUCACUCUUUAUUGCUAAAGCACUUAUUUCACUGGUUUCAAGCUGCUUUAAAAGGAGUGAAUAUGCAGCAGCCAUAGCGUUUGUUUUGGAGACUUCAGUCAGAAAAUAAACGUAACGCAUGUGUGAAAAGAAAGAAGUGUGUGGAACUCGGAGAAAGUCUUAUCUUCUGAACACGAGUGCCCGAGGACAGAAGCCCCCAUCUUUUAACAAAGAAAAGUCCAUUGUUCAUCAUUUUGUGAAAUGUGAAAACUAACAUGAUAAACAAUGAUUCAUUUUAAUGGACUGAAAAAUAACUUGCAUAGACACUGGAGGCCAAGAAAAGAAAAAAAAAAAAAGAAAGAAAAGAAAAAGCAUUAUCCUUUUAUCCAUUUAAAGAAAAAAAAGCAAAAUACAUCCUAUUAUCAGCUCUCAAUAGAUGAACAGGCACUAAGCAGAAGCUUCGGGAAGGCUGCUGUUUCAGAAAAACUUAACAGGUUUUUGAAAAGAAGAAUUCCAACCCCCUGAACUCCCACCCUCUUGUGCACACAACUGGAAGAAUGGCACACCCAGAUCUGAUGGUGAUAACUUUUAUUUGCAAAGAGAUGGGUUAGGAACGGCCAGCGGUUGGGGGCAGAUUGGAGAUGGGAGGAGAGCUCAUCAAAGGGCUUCAGUUAGUUGUAGGUAAACAGGCCUUGUCCCCUGACACUGUUCUUUUCCUUGCAACCCAUCAAAAGAUGUAUCUGAAUGGUGACUGGACCCAGGGGUGCUGGGGCGAGGGUGUCAGGAAGCCGCUUUCAGGAAUCAGCCAUCCUACUGCUCUUCCUGUAAGGAUUUCUGUUGCUCUUUAAAUCAGUAAGUGGAGACUAGGGCAUUCUAAUGUUGCAAACAUUAAACAGUCAAGCUACCACUUAAAUUUUCUGCUGCAAAAGAAAUUUCAACCACUGACUAGUUAAGGGGAAGGAUCUCCCCUACCCUAUAAUUCCCAUGGCUAAAACGCUUGACAUUUCUUAUUUCAGACUGGAAGAUUCUGUAGGCUGUCCGAUUUAGGUAAAUGGCGCUGUCUUUGGCUUUCGUUAUGAUGCUCAGAAGUGAGAGCUGCUGCAGUUUGACCCCCUCUCCCUGGCUGUGGGCUUUGCUGUGACACAAGGUAAAGUGAGGAGUCAGUGCUGCCCUGGGACCCAGCCCAAGCAUAUGGCUACACUGUGGCUUAGUGUCCGGGGGCUGCUUUAACAAAUGACCGCAAACUGGGUGUCUUCAAACAACAGAAGCUCUUCUCCUGGAGUUCUGAAGGCCAGAAGUCCAAAAUCAAGGUGUGGGCAGGCUAGGUUCCUUCCAAAAGCUCUGGGAGAAUGUUCCGGCUCUCUCCUGGCUUCUGGCAGUGCCAGGAUUCCUUGGCUGUCUUUGGUUCCUAGAUGCUGCACUCCAGUCUCUGUCUCCGUGGUCACAUGGUAUCCUCUCCGUGCCUCCCUGCGGCUUCAUGUGGUCUUCUUAUAAGGACACCAGUCACUGGAUUUAGGACCCACCCUAAAUCCAGGAGGACUUCAUCUAUGAGAAUGGCAUACACAAAGAGCCUAUUUCCAAAUAAGUUCACAUUCUGAGGUUCUGGGUGGACAGGUAUUUGUUAGGACACUAUUUAGCCUAGUCCAUCCUCAUUCUUCUACUCCAAGAUGAAAUUUUCCUAAACUUCUAAUAGCUAUUUUUAUCACUGCAGAUUUUAUUACCUUGACAAAAAAAAAACAAAAAAAACUCCGCUAAACUUUUCACUGCUUUUGAAAAGCAUUGCCUGUGGCUCAGGGAGAAAGCUAGAAGAACAUGAAGCAAGCAGCUGCAUGACACGUCCACGGGACAGGCCUGGGCAUGGAGCGAGGGCUCCAGAGACAGGAGGGAAGGGAGAGCUGACCUCGCCUGCCUUCGGUGGAAGGAGGAGGUGGGAGGCACACAGGGAGUGCCCGGGAGCCAGGUAGGCCUGGACUUGGAUCCUGGGGGGUGUGAGGAGACCGAGGCAACCAGAAGGCGUCUCAGAGACAAGACCAAGGGCAAACUACGUGGAAGCUCUCAAGGCCAUGUGCCGCCAGGAGCGUCACCUUCCCAGGAGCGUCACUAGACUCUGCUCUGCAGGGCUUUGGUUUAGUGCAGGGGCAGAGGGCUGGGUGGAGACAGGAAGCUUCAGAGCCACUCCACACCCACAAGGCCAGCCUCACUUCCUCACUCCUGACCCGUAGCUUGAGGCUGCCGGAUCAUCAGCCCUUCUGGGCCAGCAGUGUGUCUUGCUCUGCCUUUGCAGCUGCGUAAAGAGCGUGAGAAGCCACAGUAAAUGGUAACUUAAACAGAAAGAGGAAGUCCCGGAAGAUGGGCAUGCUCUUUAAAGGAACAUGAAGGAAGAGCCCACAUAACCCCUGACAAAGACUCUCUCCUUGACCAAACUUUAGUCAGACUCCUCCAAGCCCUCAACCUUGGUCCCUGUCCUUGCUGGGCCUGCAAAGCUCAGUUUCAACAGGGAUCCUGCUGUCAGUUUAUUGAGAACCCUUGAUCCUCGAUAUCAGAUCACCCUGGCCUACCUUCAACAAGAAUCCUUGUUGAAACCUGGAUCAGUUUAGCAAGAAGCCCGACCCUGAAAUCAUCUUCAUCUGGUGAAACCCCUCAACCUGCUGUAAAUAUCCCCUUGUUCUUUUUUUUUCUUAAUUUUAAUUUUAUAAUUUUUUUGGUAAGGAGUCUCACUCUGUGACUAGG